CAGUCGCCGCGGGAAUACGAAGGGUGCAAGCGUUAAUCGGAAUUACUGGGCGUAAAGCGUGCGUAGGCGGUUUGUUAAGUCUGUUGUGAAAUCCCCGGGCUCAACCUGGGAAUGGCAAUGGAUACUGGCAAGCUAGAGUGUGUCAGAGGAUGGUGGAAUUCCCGGUGUGGCGGUGAAAUGCGUAGAGAUCGGGAGGAACAUCAGUGGCGAAGGCGGCCAUCUGGGACAACACUGACGCUGAGGCACGAAAGCGUGGGGAGCAAACAGGAUUAGAUACCCCUGUAGUCCCUGUCUCUUAUAC
rnacentral:rRNA from 1 species